ensembl:ncRNA Y47D3B.18 ncRNA
GGGUCAUCAAUGGGAUUACACCAUCUCAUUUCCCCCUAAAAUUUAUGCGCGACCCCCGUGGGCUCUUUUGAGCCGCCGCCGCCGAUGAUGAUGGUGGUGAAAAGAAGA